CUUUGGUCCUGUACACUUGAACAAUUAUUAGUAAUAACCAAUUGACAAUUUUUAAUACCUUGUUAUCAUCAAAACUCAAUAAGGUUCAUUGUGAAACACACUUUGUUCCAACACCACUUCCUUCAUGUAUCACCACAAUUUGAAAUAUAUAAAACUUGAGUUUCUCAUUUGAGAGUUAGAGAGUGGAUUCUCUCUUGGUUUCUGAGCCGUAUUGGCAUUAGAGCAAGGUUCUAAGGGUUUUCUAAGGGUUUCUUGAAGAAAAAGAGCUGCCACCUUCGAAACUCUACUUUGCGGCCAUUUUUUCGCAAAACUAACGCCGCCAUUGCGUUCGGAAGGCCGAAAAACCUUGGACUGGAGGUUUUUGUCACCAACGGAGCCUCCACGAGCCGCCAAAUGACUCGCCGGACCACCACCCGCCGCCACUAACCACCGCCGGAAGUCUAGAGGUUGAAGACGACCAGUCAGCAACCACGUGUCACUUAAACCAAUAACUUGCUGCCACGUGUCAACCUGACACAUCACCUGACAUGUCCAGUCAUCGACAAGUCAGCCUCCACAUCCCUGCCACGUGUCACCCAGUGCCACGUCAUGACCCAGUCACCCAAAAUUUCCAGAAAUUGCAAAUUUUCCCCAAAACUUUUCAGAAAUUUCAUAUUUGCCCCAAAACUUUCUGAAAUUAGAAAAUUGCCCCUCAACUUUCAAAAAAUUGCAGAAUUACCCUUUUUUUUUAAAUUGCAAAUUUGCCCAUAUUCUUUAUGGAAUUACAAUUUUACCCUUGUUCAAAAAUUGUGAAUUUUCAGGAAAUCCUUCCUUUUUAGUGCUAUUAUAAUAGACAAUUUCUAUUAUGCUCUGUGGUUGCAGUUUAAUCUGAUCUUCCACAUCAGAAAAUAAUUAUUCUAUUUUAUAGUAUUUAUACUCAUUUCACCCUUUAAAAAAAAAUAAAAAAUAUGCCUCCAAGAAAAAACGACCAAACACUUAGGGAUAUUCAAAUGGAAGAAAUGAGAAGACAAAUCCAACAGUUACAAGAAACUGUAAAUGCACAACAAGCACAAUUGGAAGCCCAACACAUGCAAUCAGACGUUGAUGAAUCAAGUAGCGAAUCAUCAUCAUUAAGAAGUCGUCGUCCACAAAGACAAUCAUUCAGAGACAACGACAUCAAGGUAGAUAUUCUUGAUUUUGAAGGAAAGCUACUUCCAGAUGAGUUCGUUGAUUGGCUCCAAACUGUUGAAAGAGUCUUCGAGUAUAAAGAGAUACUUGAAGAAAAGAAAGUCAAGAUCAUUGCUGUCAAAUUAAAGAAGCAUGCUUCCAUUUGGUGGGAAAAUCUAAAAAUGAAGCGAGUCCGUGAAGGAAAAAGCAAGAUCAAGACUUGGGAGAAAAUGCGUCGAGAACUAAGCAAAAAGUUCUUGCCUUCUCACUAUUAUCAAGAUAGUUUUAUUCAACUACAGAACCUUCGUCAGAAAAACUUGUCUGUAGAAGAAUACACUAGAGAAUUUGAGAAGUUAAUGAUGAAGUGCGACAUUCAUGAAAGGCAGGAGCAGACAAUAGCUCGUUACCUUGGUGGAUUAAACACUGACGUUGCUCAUCCAGUUCAGCUCCAACAAUACUGGUCAUUAGACGAUGUUGUUCGUUUGACCAUGCGAGUGGAGAAACAUUUACCCAAGAAGCAUUCUUAUAGGAAUUUUUCCUCCACUGAGAAUUUUUCUUAUCCCCGCAAAACAGACAACGAUCAGCCCAGUACUUCUACAAAACCUUCUCCUAAACCCACUACAGAAAAUAAACCCAAAGCUACCAAGUGUUUCAAAUGUCAAGGUUUUGGACAUAUAGCUUCAAAUUGUCCAACACGAAGAACCAUCACCAUCAUCAAAGGAGAAGCUUAUGAAGAAGUUGAUGAGGAAACAAACCGAGAUGAACCAGAAAAAGAAGAAGUGUUAGAGCCAAUUUAUGAUGAAGAGCUCAUUGUUGCUGAUCAUGGCGAGUCUCUGGUGAUCAGACGAAGCCUACACGCGAUGUCAGCUCAAGAAGAGCAUUGGUUGAGGAAAAACAUUUUCCAUACUCGUUGCACCAUUGCUGGAAAAGUUUGUGAUGUUAUAAUAGACAGUGGUAGUUGUGAAAAUGUGGUGUCGAACUACAUGGUAGAGAAGUUAGAGAUGGCAGCACAAAGUCAUCCUCAUCCUUACAAACUACAAUGGCUCAACAAAGGUAGUGAAGUGAAGGUUACGAAGCGUUGCCUUGUGAGUUUUUCCAUUGGUCAGAAGUAUCAAGAUCAAGUUUGGUGUGAUGUCGUCCCAAUGGAUGCAUGUCAUUUUCUCCUUGGAAGACCCUGGCAAUACGAUCGUCGUGCCCAUCAUGAUUGUUAUGCCAACACCUACUCCUUUGUCAAAGAUGGAGUAAAAAUCAAGUUAACUCCAUUACCAUCGAGUGGACUUGAUAAAAACAAAAAUGAGUCCAAGCCAUUAGUGUCUUUAAUCACUAAGACUCAGUUCAAAGAAGCUGUGGACGAAGUCCAAACCAUGAGCUUUAUUCUAAUGUUCGAAGAAAAUGCAGAAACUGUCAUUCCAGUAGAAAUUGAACAAAUACUCAGUGAAUUCCCAGAUGUAGUACCAGAAGACGUUCCACAAGGAUUGCCGCCGAUGCGAGACAUUCAACAUGCUAUUGACUUUAUUCCUGGAGCUGUCAUUCCUAAUAGACCAACUUAUAGAAUGAGUCCACAAGAGCAUGCUGAAAUCACACGUCAAGUUGAAGAAUUGCUGAAGAAAGGACUAAUACAGGAAAGUGUUAGCCCUUGUGCUGUUUCUGCAAUUUUAGUACCCAAAAAGGAUGGAAGCUGGAGAAUGUGUGUUGAUAGUCGAGUUGUCAACAAGAUUACAAUCAAAUAUCGAUUUCCGAUACCUAGACUUGAUGAUUUAUUAGAUCAGUUGCAUGGUGCCACCAUAUUUUAAAAGAUUGAUCUUCGAAGUGGAUACCAUCAAAUCAGGCUUAGGCCAGGAGAUGAAUGAAAGACUGCAUUCAAAACAAGAGAUGGCUUAUAUGAAUGGACAGUGAUGCCCUUUGGGUUAUCUAAUGCUCCAAGUACCUUCAUGCGUCUAAUGAAUCAAGUACUUCGACCAUUCAUUGGCAAAUUUGUAGUUGUAUACUUUGACGAUAUCUUGAUCUACAACAAACAGAAAGAGGAACACUUAGAGCAGCUUCGACAAGUGCUACAAACUCUUCGCGAACAAAAACUCUUAUGCAAAUUUGAAGAAAUGUUCUUUCCUAACCAAUGAGGUUACUUUUCUGGGUUACAUAAUCACUGCUGAAGGUGUUCGAGUUGACCCCAGCAAGGUUGAGGCUAUCAAUAGGUGGCCUAUUCCAAAGUCAAUUCAUGAUGUGAGAAGUUUCCAUGGAUUAGCUUCAUUUUAUAGAAGGUUCAUCAAGAACUUUAGCUCUGUUGCUGCCCCGCUUACAGAUUGCAUAAAGGGAGAUAAGUUCCAAUGGACCGAGCAAGCACAAAAGAGUUUUGACCACCUAAAACAACUUUUGACUGAAACACCGGUGCUAGCCCUUCCCAACUUUGACCAGGUGUUCGAAGUAAGUUGUGACGCUUCCAAUUCAGGAAUUGGUGCGGUUCUAUGUCAAGAAGGUCAUCCUAUAGCCUUCUUUAGUGAAAAGCUCAACAAUGGUAAACUUAGAUAUUCAACAUAUGAUAAAGAAUUUUAUGCCAUUGUCCGAGCCUUGCAACAUUGGAGUCAUUACUUGUUGAAUAAAGAAUUUAUUCUUUAUUCUGAUCAUGAAGCCCUUAAACAUUUGAAUUCUCAACAAAAGAUCAAUCGCAGGCAUGCCGCUUGGAGUGAGUUUUUACAAGCUUAUCCGUUCUCUCUAAAACAUAAGGCGGGAGUUCAAAAUGUUGUUGCAGAUGCUCUUAGCAGGCGUCAUACCCUACUUGCCACUAUGCAAAUGAAAGUCAUUGGAUUUGAGACAGCCAAAGAGUUAUACAAAGAUGAUCCAGAUUUUCAAAAGUUUUGGAAUGCCACUAAUUCACAAUCCUCUCAGGACUACUACAGACAUGAAGGAUUUUUGUUCAAAGGAAAAACCUUAUGUAUUCCCCAGUGCUGUCUACGUGAAGCCAUUAUUUGGGAAGCCCAUGAUGGAGGAUUAGCAGGUCAUUUUGGACGAGAUAAAACUAUUGCUUUAGUGAAAGAAAAUUUCCAUUGGCCAAGACUUGAAAGAGAUGUCUACAAACAUAUUCAAAGAUGUCGAGUCUGCCAUUUGGCCAAGGCCAAAAGCCAAAACACUGGUUUUUACAUGCCACUCCCUGUUCCAGAAGCACCUUGGGAAGAUGUUAGCAUGGACUUUGUCCUUGGAUUGCCUCGGACACAACGCCAGAAAGAUUCUGUGAUGGUAGUUGUGGACAGAUUUUCAAAGAUGGCUCAUUUCAUCCCAUGCCAGAAGACUAAUGAUGCCGUUCAAGUUGCUGACUUAUACUUCAAGGAAAUUGUUCGUCUUCAUAGAAUUCCAAAAACCAUCACUUCUGAUAGGGAUGUUAAAUUUUUAAGUCAUUUUUGGAGAACCUUAUGGAAGAAGAUGGGUACUAAACUUCAGUUUAGUAGUGCUAGUCACCCCUAAACAGAUGGACAAACUGAUCAAAAACAGUGGGAUCUCAUAUUGGCACAAGUUGAAUUUGCAUACAAUAAUUCAACUAAUCAAGCAACUGAAAAAUGUCCUUUUGAAGUAGCAUACGGAACUCGACCACACAGUCCGUUAGACUUGACUCCAUCAUCAGAUAAACAUCAGUUUAGUGCAGAUGCAGAAAGCAGAGCAAAGGAGAUCAAGAAACUGCAUGAACAGGUUUGACAACGGAUAAUCAAGCAAAAUUCAAGAUACAAAACUAAUCGUGACAAGCACAUAAAGCAACAAAUCUUUAAAGUUGGAGAUUUGGUAUGGAUACAUUUGCGCAAAGAACGAUUUUCCAAACAACCAAAUGCCAAGUUGUCACCAAGAGCUGAUGGUCCCUUCAAAAUAGUUCAAAAAAUCAAUGACAAUGCUUACAAGGUAGAAUUGCUAGGAACCUAUGGUGUCUCAGCAACCUUCAAUGUUGCCGAUCUUUCACCAUAUCUGGAUGACGAACCAGAUAUGAACUCGAGGGCGAGUUCUGUUCAACCCAGGGAGGAUGAUACAGAGAUGGCAUGUUAAAACAUAAAGGCACAUAUGAAAUAAUAUCUCCUGAGGAUAUUGGUCUUGAAAGAUCCAUUGAGGCUAGUAUUGUAUUGGGGAAACUUAGCGGACGCCAGGCAUUAAGAAAAAGACUUGAAGAG